ACAACGACGGUUCGUUCGGUCGAUACAAGGAGAACGGACGAAUAUCUUGUAUUUAUAAAUAAGCUUUGGUGUGAAUUGUUGCAGUUUAAGGUUGUAAGUCUGAAGAAGAAUUAGUUGCAAUCCAGUAAAGGAAUAAUAAAUGCUGCUUCAGCUCUCCGCCAACAGACGUCGUCAGAAACUGAUUAUUUGAAUGGAAAAGGACAAGAAUUUUUAAAGGAGGGGGAACUACUCUAGUGAACAAAUUGCAUAAUCAACUUAUUUGUUUAGGAUUGUUAGCGGGUCUCUCUAUCAUAUAGUCACACAUAUACACACCCAUAUAUACAUCCAUACUUAUACACAUAUAUAUUAAGUAUUGAGCAUAUAAACAAAAGCAACAGGCUUUAAGGACAUAAAAAUAAUCCAUAAACUUUUCGAGUGGACAGAAUUAUCACAAGGCUGGUUACACAUAAAAACAAGAAAUAAAAAGAAAAAACUCAAAAUUUUUUUCUCUCACUCAAUCAUUGGUAUUUUGUAUUGCAGAUCGGGCGAUUUGUAUCUAUUCGAGUUAAUACAGUUGUCUCGUUACUGGCAUCUUCCUGUGCCGCUAUCAAAGACAUAUCUUGGUGGCUCAAUAAAUGGUGCCUUUACGGUAUCGUCCCACUUGCUAGAAACUGCAGCCAACUUUUCUCAAAUCACACCUUAUCCUACGAUAAAAAAAAAAAAAGAAAAACGUAUCGGAUACUGUAUUUCGUUUUAUAAAAAUAAGAAAUAAAAACGUGUAUUUUUUUUUAUCCUUUCGUGACUAAAUGCAAAAUUA